AGCAGCCGCGGUAAUUCCAGCUCCAAUAGCGUAUAUUAAAGUUGUUGCAGUUAAAAAGCUCGUAGUUGAAUUUCGGGGUCAGCAGGUUGGUCGUGCCUCUGGUACGCACUGGUUUUGCUGAUUCCUCCUUUCUGAAGAACUGUAAUGUCAUUAAUUUGGUGUUGCAGGGAAACAGGACUGUUACUUUGAAAAAAUUAGAGUGUUUAAAGCAAGCUAACGCUUGAAUAUAUUAGCAUGGAAUAAUGAAAUAGGACGUUCGAUCCUAUUUUGUUGGUUUCUAGGAUUGACGUAAUGAUUAAUAGGGAUAGUUGGGGGCAUUAGUAUUCAAUUGUCAGAGGUGAAAUUCUUGGAUUUAUUGAAGACUAACUACUGCGAAAGCAUUUGCCAAGGAUGUUUUCAUUAAUCAAGAACGAAAGUUAGGGGAUCGAAGACGAUCAGAUACCGUCGUAGUCUUAACCAUAAACUAUGCCGACUAGGGAUCGGAUGAUGUUAAUUUUUAAUGACUCAUUCGGCGCCUUAA
rnacentral:rRNA from 1 species